UACGAAGGUGGCGAAUGUUGCUCGGAUUCACUGGGCGUAAAGCGUCUGUAGGUGGUUUAGUAAGUUAGAGGUGAAAGCCCCGCGCUCAACGUGGGAAUUGCCUUUAAAACUGCAAAACUAGAAGGUAUGAGAGGAUGGCGGAAUGACUGGUGUAGAGGUGAAAUUCGUAGAUAUCAGUCGGAACACCCAAGGCGAAGGCAGCUAUCUGGCAUAUUCUUGACACUGAGGGACGAAAGCGUGGGGAGCAAACAGG
rnacentral:rRNA from 1 species